AUGCUGGAGAGCGGCGCCGACCUCCACCUAUUCCAGCCCGUGGCUGAGCAGUGCUCAGUGGGGAGAAGUGGAGGCGUGAUGUCUUUCUGCACAUUGUGCCCAGGCUGUGGAGAUGAGAGCGGGGUCUCAGCCCGGGAAGGGGAAACCAGCACCAGGCCCACCCCAGGCUCAAGAAACAGUGAACUUACGGCCCCUCCACAAGUGUCAUUCGUGCCGAUCUCUCCACAGCGUGGUGCAGCACUUGUGUUAUCGGUCAUGUUCUGCAGGGUCAUGGCCCGCAGCAGCACUCUUCACUGGCCUAGAACAAGCUUCCACGGUUCCAAAUCUAGGACCCUGAGGCUGUGUUGUAUAGAUCUUGCUGUAUUUAAUAUUAAUAGCAGAGGAGUUCUACCUCCUAUUUUCAUAAUGCUCUUUUGUGUAUUUUUGUACACUUACAACUCCAGUAUUUAAGCAGAUGUUCAUCUUGGUAAUUGAGGAAGAAUGUAUUACAUCUAGAACACGCCUCACUUUUAUUGUCUUUUCCAGCUCUUGCCUGACUAUUUCUCUGACGCUGCUAUUACUUAGCUGCUGGAAUAUACACUCAGACUUGUGAGUUAAGGAUGUGAGGAUCGGGGCAAUGAUAAAGUCCUUCUAGGAAGCUGUUGAGAGCUUUUCUUUAUUUAGUCCUAUGAAUACUCUGGUUUCUCUUCAGAUCGCAUAAAUCUUUCA
rnacentral:lncRNA from 1 species